rnacentral:rRNA from 1 species
AGCGAACGCUGGCGGCAGGCCUAACACAUGCAAGUCGAACGAACCCUUCGGGGUUAGUGGCGGACGGGUGAGUAACACGUGGGAACGUGCCUUUAGGUUCGGAAUAACUCAGGGAAACUUGUGCUAAUACCGAAUGUGCUCUUCGGGGGAAAGAUUUAUCGCCUUUAGAGCGGCCCGCGUCUGAUUAGCUAGUUGGUGAGGUAAAGGCUCACCAAGGCUACGAUCAGUAGCUGGUCUGAGAGGAUGACCAGCCACAUUGGGACUGAGACACGGCCCAAACUCCUACGGUAGGCAGCAGUGGGGAAUCUUGCGCAAUGGGCGAAAGCCUGACGCAGCCAUGCCGCGUGGAUGAUGAAGGUCUUAGGAUUGUAAAAUCCUUUCACCGGUGAAGAUAACGACUGUAGCCGGAGAAGAAGCCCCGGCUAACUUCGUGCCAGCCGCCGCAGUAAUAC